CUACGUGCCAGCAGCCGCGGUAAUACGUAGGUCCCGAGCGUUGUCCGGAUUUAUUGGGCGUAAAGCGAGCGCAGGCGGUUAGAUAAGUCUGAAGUUAAAGGCUGUGGCUUAACCAUAGUACGCUUUGGAAACUGUUUAACUUGAGUGCAAGAGGGGAGAGUGGAAUUCCAUGUGUAGCGGUGAAAUGCGUAGAUAUAUGGAGGAACACCGGUGGCGAAAGCGGCUCUCUGGCUUGUAACUGACGCUGAGGCUCGAAAGCGUGGGGAGCAAACAGGAUUAGAUACCCUGGUAGUCCACGCCGUAAACGAUGAGUGCUAGGUGUUAGACCCUUUCCGGGGUUUAGUGCCGUAGCUAACGCAUUAAGCACUCCGCCUGGGGAGUACGACCGCAAGGUUGAAACUCAAAGGAAUUGACGGGGGCCCGCACAAGCGGCGGAGCAUGUGGUUUAAUUCGAAGCAACGCGAAGAACCUUACCAGGUCUUGACAUCCCUCUGACCGCUCUAGAGAUAGAGCUUUCUUCGGGACA
rnacentral:rRNA from 1 species